GUGGGGAAUAUUGCACAAUGGAGGAAACUCUGAUGCAGCGACGCCGCGUGAGUGAAGAAGUAUUUCGGUAUGUAAAGCUCUAUCAGCAGGAAAGAAAAUGACGGUACCUGACUAAGAAGCCCCGGCUAACUACGUGCCAGCAGCCGCGGUAAUACGUAGGGGGCAAGCGUUAUCCGGAUUUACUGGGUGUAAAGGGAGCGUAGACGGCUUGGCAAGUCUGAAGUGAAAGCUCGGGGCUCAACCCCGGAACUGCUUUGGAAACUGUCGAGCUGGAGUGCAGGAGAGGUAAGCGGAAUUCCUAGUGUAGCGGUGAAAUGCGUAGAUAUUAGGAGGAACACCAGAGGCGAAGGCGGCUUACUGGACUGUAACUGACGUUGAGGCUCGAAGGCGUGGGGAGCAAACAGG
rnacentral:rRNA from 1 species